CUUGGUCUAUGUGCAUAUUAAACAAUGGACACAGAUAAAUUCAUAAAAUUGUGUUUUGAUGAUGGUGAUGUGUUUAUAGAUCUUACUUUACCGAACAUUCUUGUUGCUACAAUUAUCUCUAUCUAUAAUGAACUUGGACCAGUAAUUACAGUGGAAAAUUUUUUUCUAAAAAUCCACAAAAAUUUAUGAAAAAUGUAAAAAAAUUACUAUAAAGGGCAAUAACUCCUAAAGGGGUCAACUGACCAUAUCGGUCGUGUUGACUUAUUUGUAAAUCUUACUUUGCUGAACAUUAUUGCUGUUCACUGUUUAUCUCUAUCUAUAAUAUUAUUCAAGAUUAUAACCAAAAACAGACAAAUUUCCUUAAAAUUACCAAUUCAGAGGCAGCAACCCAACAACUGGUUGUUCGAUUCAUCUCAAAUUUUCAGGGCAGACAGAUCUUGACCUGAUAAACAAUUGAACCCCAUGUCAGAUUUGCUCUUAAUGCUUUGGUUUUUGAGUUAUAAGCCAAAAACUGCAUUUUACCCCUAUUAUCUAUUUUUAGCCAUGGCGGCCAUCUUGGUUGGUUGACCGGGUC
rnacentral:lncRNA from 1 species